GGGACCCCAUCGUACCAUAGGGUCUAGCAGGGUGACCCAUUUCUUGUGUGGGCCCUUGGCUUUCGCUUUCUCUCUCAAUGCUUAUAAGUGUUGUAUGAGUCAUUGGGAAAUGAUGAAGAAAAAGGCUUUGCUUGAUCCGGAAAUAGCUACUAGCAAAAUAGCAAUAGCGGUAGCAAGUCUCUCAAGGAGCAUGACCCCCUCCCUACCUCUUUCCUUGCUCAGCUAAGUGCUUUCUCACUGUCUAAUCUUCAAAAGCCCGCACUCUCUCCAUUCAAUAUUUCUUCAUCAUUUCUCCCUGCAGAGAGAGAACAAAAAGGGAACAGCUUACUUCCCAUUGUUUUUUCUUCUAUUGUGCUUCCAGAUAGAAGCUGCUCGCUCCCAAUCCCUAAUACCUCUCUCUCCAUUCAUCACUUUCACUUCAAUUUUCCCUGUUGGGCAGCAAACAACUAGAACCCCCCCUGUUUUCUUCCUGUCUUUAAUUUGCUUCCAAAAUAAAACCCUCUUUGCCCGCCCCCCUUCCCCAAUAUAACCACACAUACUCUCUCCCUCCCUCUCUCUCUCUCUCU
rnacentral:lncRNA from 1 species